GAUGAAGAACGUAGCGAAAUGCGAUACGUAGUGUGAAUUGCAGAAUUCAGUGAAUCAUCGAAUCUUUGAACGCACAUUGCACCUCUCGGUAUUCCGGGAGGUAUGCCUGUUCGAGCGUCAUUUGUACCCUCAAGCUCUGCUUGGUGUUGGGUGUUAGUUCCGCCUCUGUGUGUGAACUCGCCUCAAAACAAUUGGCAGCCGGCGUACUUGUUUCGGAGCGCAGCACAUUUUGCGAUCCAGAUCAACGUACAGCGGCAUCCAAGAAGCCUUAUUUAACGCUCUUGACCUCGGAUCAGGUAGGGAUACCCGCUGAACUUAAGCAUAUCAAUAAGCGGAGGA
rnacentral:misc_RNA from 1 species